rnacentral:tRNA from 1 species
AAGGAUUUAAGUUAAACACUUAAACUAACAACCUUCAAAGUUGUAAAUAGAGGCUCUCUAAGCCUUG